rnacentral:rRNA from 1 species
GACGAACGCUGGCGGCGUGCUUAACACAUGCAAGUCGAACGGUAAGGCCCUUCGGGGUACACGAGUGGCGAACGGGUGAGUAACACGUGGGUGAUCUGCCCUGCACUUCGGGAUAAGCCUGGGAAACUGGGUCUAAUACCGGAUAGGACCCUGGGAUGCAUGUCCUGGGGUGGAAAGCUUUUGCGGUGUGGGAUGGGCCCGCGGCCUAUCAGCUUGUUGGUGGGGUGAUGGCCUACCAAGGCGACGACGGGUAGCCGUCCUGAGAGGGUGACCGGCCACACUGGGACUGAGGUACGGCCAGACUCCUACGGGAGGCAGCAGUGGGGAAUAUUGCACAAUGGGCGCAAGCCUGAUGCAGCGACGCCGCGUGAGGGAUGACGGCCUUCGGGUUGUAAACCUCUUUCAGCACCGACGAAGCGCAAGUGACGGUAGGUGCAGAAGAAGGACCGGCCAACUACGUGCCAGCCGCCGCCGUAA